CCUACGGGUGGCAGCAGUAGGGAAUCUUCGGCAAUGGGGGCAACCCUGACCGAGCAACGCCGCGUGAGUGAAGAAGGUUUUCGGAUCGUAAAGCUCUGUUGUAAGAGAAGAACGUGUGUGAGAGUGGAAAGUUCACACAGUGACGGUAACUUACCAGAAAGGGACGGCUAACUACGUGCCAGCAGCCGCGGUAAUACGUAGGUCCCGAGCGUUAUCCGGAUUUAUUGGGCGAAAAGCGAGCGAAGGCGGUUGGAUAAGUCUGAAGUUAAAGGCUGUGGCUCAACCAUAGUAUGCUUUGGAAACUGUGCAACUUGAGUGCAGAAGGGGAGAGUGGAAUUCCAUGUGUAGCGGUGGAAUGCGUAGAUAUAUGGAGGAACACCAGUGGCGAAGGCGGAUUGCUGGACAGUAACUGACGCUGAGGCGCGAAAGCGUGGGGAGCAAACAGGAUUAGAUACCCUUGUAGUC
rnacentral:rRNA from 1 species